CGAGUCUGACGGAGCACGCCGCGUGAGUGAUGAAGGUUUUCGGAUCGUAAAGCUCUGUUGUUAGGGAAGAACAAGUGCCGUUCAAAUAGGGCGGCACCUUGACGGUACCUAACCAGAAAGCCACGGCUAACUACGUGCCAGCAGCCGCGGUAAUACGUAGGUGGCAAGCGUUGUCCGGAAUUAUUGGGCGUAAAGGGCUCGCAGGCGGUUUCUUAAGUCUGAUGUGAAAGCCCCCGGCUCAACCGGGGAGGGUCAUUGGAAACUGGGGAACUUGAGUGCAGAAGAGGAGAGUGGAAUUCCACGUGUAGCGGUGAAAUGCGUAGAGAUGUGGAGGAACACCAGUGGCGAAGGCGACUCUCUGGUCUGUAACUGACGCUGAGGAGCGAAAGCGUGGGGAGCGAACAGGAUUAGAUACCCUGGUAGUCCACGCCGUAAACGAUGAGUGCUAAGUGUUAGGGGGUUUCCGCCCCUUAGUGCUGCAGCUAACGCAUUAAGCACUCCGCC
rnacentral:rRNA from 1 species